AACGGCUGCUCUUUCUAGCUAAGUAGGUCGACCCCAUUUAAGCCUCAGUCCCGGUUAGCGUCUCUCUGACUGAGAGGAAACUUCUUUCAGUCUCGAGUAGGUCUGACCUGCCUCUUUGUUGGCUACGCAGUCUCAGAAGCCUGCCCAUUUACUUUGCAAACCGGACAGUGAAGCAUAUCUCAGACUGGGAGCAUCAGUUUCCAUACCAUCUUCUUGGAGUAUGCAGCUCAAUCAAUAGCCUUUGCAAGAUCACCCUUCAUUCCUGCUGCUCAGACCUAUAGAGGAACAAUGCUGCACAGCCAGUUGUUCCUUUGAACCUUGGACAACUUUGAACUUCAGUCUCAAAUGGAGAAGUACAAUAUUCAAGAUUGACUUUGAGAUUUUUAUUUGAUUGACUGAAAUCCAAAUGUCACUUCUCUUGUUGGAGGACAAUUUGCAGCAGUUUCCAACUGAAAAAAUACUCUUUGCCAGUUAUGGAUGUUUCACUUAGGGGACAGUUCCAUAGGGUUUUUUUAUGCCACAGUUAUGGAAGUGGAUCCC
rnacentral:lncRNA from 1 species